rnacentral:pre_miRNA from 1 species
UGAUGAUGAUGAUGAUGAUGAUGAUGAUGAUGAUGAUGAUGAAGGGGCUAAGAGGCCUUCUUCUUCAUCAUCAUCCUUCUUCUUCUUCUUCUUUUUCAUCAUCUUCUUCAUCAUGAUCACCAUCAUCAUCAUCGUUUGUU